rnacentral:antisense_RNA from 1 species
AGAAAUGCUGUAGCAUAAUAAAGGGAGCAGAUGAAUGACUGAAGCCCUACAGCUCCACGAAAGAUUAGAGUAAAAUCUGCACUUCAAAAGAUCCUGUAUUCUUGCAAGAGAACAGAGCUCCUGAUCACCUGUGUGCGUCCUUUGAGUGGAUGGCAGCCGCAUCUCUGCAUUACGGCUAGUUAGAAUGAUGAGUCCUUGCUAUGCCUCAAGCACUGUUUCGAGUGUUUGAUGUCUAUUAUCUCACUUCAUCCUCACCAUGACCCCAUCCGAGGAUUUGUGACUUGAGUAGCGUUGACAGUGGCGAUGGGGAACCUGGCAAGACAGCAGAUGUCUACAGCAAGAGGAGGGAAUGGGAAGCUGCUCUGAUGGCAUAAUCAUCAAGGUUGCUGAUAAAAUGGCCUUAAUUUCAGUUGACAGUAACUAUUGGAUCCCCAGGAAUAUGUCUGCAUAUUUGGGGAGAAAAUACUAUUGGAGGGGAACAGAAAUGCUACUAAGGGUCUCACUCUGUCACCCAGGCUGGAGUCCAUCAAAACUCACUGCAGCCUUAGCCUUCUGUGCUCAAGGGAUCCUCCCACUUAAGCCUCCUGAGUAGCUGGUGGCAUAUGCCACCGAGCCUGGCUAAUCUUUGAUUUUUUUGUACAGAUUGUGUCUCCUUAUGUUGCUCAGGCUGGACUCAAACUUCUGGUCUCAAGUGAUCCUUCCAUCUUAGCUUCCCAAAUUGUUGGAAUUACAGGCAUGAGCCAGUGCGCUUGGCCUGCAUAUAUUAGCUCUGAAAAACUUUGGAAGACUUCUUACUUCACUGAAAGUGGGGUUUAUCAACUCAGCUGCCAACGGCUUUCCUCCCAUUUAGCCUUUGUGUGAAAAACACAAUUAAUACUUUCUUAAGUAGUAAAAACUGAGCCAAGAAACCAUCUUUCAGAGUAAAUUCUUGCCUUGGGUGGAAGGCUGGAUGUUAUUAACUUUCACGAUUUCUUUCAACACUUGAUUUUCCUCAAUCACGUUAAAGACAUAUUAUUUAUUUUUCUUUUUAGUUGGGAAAGUUGGUUCAUGUGACUUUUGCAUUUUGUAGAAUUUUUAAGAGGUAAGAUGAAAAUUAAACAUUUCUGCGUGUUAAGGAUCCAUGUUUCUCUGUCAGAUGUCUGGUAAUUUGCUUGACGAUUUUUGCAAAGAUAAUUUAGAAAUUAAGGAAACCAUUCUCUAUGUUUUCUUUGCAUUAAAAGAAAAAAAGUCUUCAAUAAAAAAUUUCUCUAUCCACAUCACAGGUUAAUUUACAAUUUGAGCUGCUGGUGGCUGGCUUGAGGCCUCAAUGUUAAAAAUGAGAAUGAGGCUAAUUCUAGUGAAUAGAGGUCCACACAGACAAUUGCUAUCUUUGUUAGAUGCUCCAGUACCAAGCCUAAGAAUAGGAAAAAAACUAAAAACACCCUGGAAAUGUAACAGAAUCAUCUUUUGCUGCCAUCUUUCUCUUCAGUAUAAGCUGAGCAUGUGUUUGAUACAUAGGGGUGUGGGAACCAUAUACUUUCUUCUGACUUUCCUUCAGUAAAGGAGCUUAAUUCCAUUAAGCAUUGUUCAAGAUAGUAUAUUAAAAAUUAACAUAAAAGAUAAAAGAUUUUAAUGCCUUUUAAUAUAAGGAAAAUUGAUUUUAUUAAAAUGCUUUAAGAUACUACAAUACAA